GGGUGAGUGGCAGACGGGUGAGUAACACGUGGGAACGUGCCUUUCGGUUCGGAAUAACCCAGGGAAACUUGGGCUAAUACCGGAUACGCCCUUUUUGGGGAAAGAUUUAUUGCCGAAAGAUCGGCCCGCGUCUGAUUAGCUAGUUGGUGAGGUAAUGGCUCACCAAGGCGACGAUCAGUAGCUGGUCUGAGAGGAUGAUCAGCCACAUUGGGACUGAGACACGGCCCAAACUCCUACGGGAGGCAGCAGUGGGGAAUAUUGGACAAUGGGCGCAAGCCUGAUCCAGCCAUGCCGCGUGAGUGAUGAAGGCCUUAGGGUUGUAAAGCUCUUUCGGCGGGGACGAUAAUGACGGUACCCGCAGAAGAAGCCCCGGCUAACUUCGUGCCAGCAGCCGCGGUAAUACGAAGGGGGCUAGCGUUGUUCGGAAUCACUGGGCGUAAAGGGCGCGUAGGCGGCUUUAUAAGUCGGGGGUGAAAGCCUGUGGCUCAACCACAGAAUUGCCUUCGAUACUGUAUGGCUUGAGACCGGAAGAGGUAAGUGGAACUGCGAGUGUAGAGGUGAAAUUCGUAGAUAUUCGCAAGAACACCAGUGGCG
rnacentral:rRNA from 1 species